rnacentral:rRNA from 1 species
UAAGGAAUAUUGGUCAAUGGACGCAAGUCUGAACCAGCCAUGCCGCGUGAAGGAUGAAGGCCCUCUGGGUUGUAAACUUCUUUUAUCUGGGAAGAAACCCUUUUAUUCUUAAGAGGUUGACGGUACCAGAGGAAUAAGCACCGGCUAACUCCGUGCCAGCAGCCGCGGUAAUACGGAGGGUGCAAGCGUUAUCCGGAUUCACUGGGUUUAAAGGGUGCGUAGGUGGGUUUGUAAGUCAGUGGUGAAAUCUCCGUGCUUAACAUGGAAACUGCCAUUGAUACUACAGGUCUUGAAUUUUCUGGAGGUUAGCGGAAUAUGUCAUGUAGCGGUGAAAUGCUUAGAUAUGACAUAGAACACCAAUUGCGAAGGCAGCUAGCUACAGGGAUAUUGACACUGAGGCACGAAAGCGUGGGGAUCAAACAGG